GGUUCUAUAGCUUAGUAGUUAGAGCACCUACCUAAUAUUAUAGAGAUCCUACUACUAGUUACAAUCUAGUAGGAGAAUCUACUAUAUGUAGGUAGUCCUAGGUUUAAUUCCUAGCAAGACUA
rnacentral:tRNA from 1 species